rnacentral:lncRNA from 1 species
GGCCUAGCUGCAUUUUUAACCCAAAUAAGGCCCAAUUCCGGUUUAAGAUGAGAAAUAGGCAGGUCAACACAUUCAUCCCAAAAAAGUACCCUGAGACAUUUUAGGAUUAAGAAAAGUAUUUUAUAAACAGCUCCAUGCUCCAUAUAGUCAAAAUAAAUCUUCAUCGCAAGUCACUACAUACAACAGAUGGGUUUGUGCAGUUUGCCAUAGAAUUUUCACAGCUACGGAAUCUCCAAAAAAAGCCAUCAAUUGGCACAUAAGUGCUCAACACAUUCAUCCCAAAAAGAACAAAAUAGCCUCCCAUGUGACAGCAACU